GGCCUGGUGGUCUAGUAGUAUGAUUCCUUGUUAGGGUUGAUCCAUAAAUUUGUUGUUUCGAGGAGGUCCCGGGUUCAAUUCCCGGCCAGGCCC